rnacentral:rRNA from 1 species
GAGGAAUAUUGGUCAAUGGGGGCAACCCUGAACCAGCCAAGUCGCGUGAAGGAUGAAGGUCUUAUGGAUUGUAAACUUCUUUUAUACAGGAAUAAAUUGGGGGACGUGUCCCCUUUUGCAUGUACUGUAUGAAUAAGGAUCGGCUAACUCCGUGCCAGCAGCCGCGGUAAUACGGAGGAUCCGAGCGUUAUCCGGAUUUAUUGGGUUUAAAGGGUGCGCAGGCGGGAUGUUAAGUCGGCGGUGAAAUUUUGCAGCUCAACUGUAAAAGUGCCUUCGAUACUGGCCUCCUUGAGUGUGGACGAAGUAGGCGGAAUUUGUGGUGUAGCGGUGAAAUGCUUAGAUAUCACGAGGAACUCCCAUUGCGCAGGCAGCUUACUAAGCCACAACUGACGCUCAUGCACGAAGGCGU